UGGACCCAUGGUGUUGCUAAGCAAUGGCCUUGGACUGAGAGUUCUAGGGUAAGCCUCACCUAAUGCCACAUUCCGUCCACAGCCAGGACAGAGGACGGGGUUCUGUGAGGACACUGAGGGCAUCAGCUCACAGCUGCCAGUGAUCUUCAGAUGCUAACUAGCCCUUCAAAGUUUUUGAAACUCCUUCAGAUAAUUUGUUCUGACAGGGAUGUGGAGAACUUGGGACUGGGAAUGGUGGCCAGUUUCUAUCUCUUGGAAGAUCACACUCACCUGGUCCUCCAGUAGGAACCUCUCCACCUGAUUGUAUGCCUUUGUGUACUUGUGCUUAAUAACCAGUUCACACCAUCGAUGGCGAACCUGGGAAACAAGACAGGAAACCUGGUGCUUCUGCCUGUUUGCUUCUCAGAGUACAAUGCCACACCUGUUGCCAGCAAGCUGUCUGAACUCUACCCAGCAAGCAGCCAGCCAAUCAGUGGAUGCUACAUCACUGCUUUAGUAUCAGCCA
rnacentral:lncRNA from 1 species